rnacentral:rRNA from 1 species
AUACGGAGGGUGCGAGCGUUAAUCGGAAUUACUGGGCGUAAAGGGUGCGUAGGCGGCUUGAUAAGUCGGAUGUGAAAGCCCCGGGCUUAACCUGGGAAUUGCAUUCGAUACUGUCAGGCUAGAGUAUGUCAGAGGUUGGCGGAAUUCCUGGUGUAGCGGUGAAAUGCGUAGAUAUCAGGAAGAACACCAGUGGCGAAGGCGGCUAACUGGGGCAAUACUGACGCUGAGGCACGAAAGCGUGGGGAGCAAACAGGAUUAGAAACCCUAGUAGUCC